CCGUGAUAAAGUAGCAUAAUCAUUUGUCAUUUAAUUGGUGACUAGAAUGAAUGGUUUUACGAAUCCCUAACUGUCUCAACAAUAAAAUUAAUGAAAUUAAAUUAAUAGUGAAGAUGCUAUUUAUAAAUUGUAAGACGAAAAGACCCUAUCGAGCUUUACUAUACGCUUGAAUACACAAGUACACAAAACCUAUUUAAGAAACAUAAAUUCAAGUCAAUUAGUUUGGUUGGGGCGACCACCUCUAAAAAAGUAUCAGAGGAAAUCUAAAGGUUAAUAUUAAUAUAACAAACCUAACUGCAUAUAAAUGAAUUAACCAGGUAUAACAAGUAGGAUAUAAUGACCCGUUGAAAUAAUUUUAACAAUCAACGACUACAGAAAAAGUUACCGUAGGGAUAACAGGGUAAUAUUCUUAGAGAGUUCUUAUCGAUGAGAAU
rnacentral:rRNA from 1 species